rnacentral:rRNA from 1 species
UACGUAGGGUCCGAGCGUUGUCCGGAAUUAUUGGGCGUAAAGGGCUCGUAGGCGGUCUGUCGCGUCGGGAGUGAAAACUUACAGCUUAACUGUGAGCGUGCUUCCGAUACGGGCAGACUUGAGGUAUUCAGGGGAGAACGGAAUUCCUGGUGUAGCGGUGAAAUGCGCAGAUAUCAGGAAGAACACCGGUGGCGAAGGCGGCUCUCUGGGCCGAUACUGACGCUGAGGAGCGAAAGCGUGGGGAGCGAACAGG